ensembl:lncRNA
UGUCUGAACUCUUUUGAGAGCAGGAUCGCAAAGCAAAUACUCCAAAUGCCAUUUUCUUUUUGUUUCAUGUAGGAUGUUUUGUUUGUUCAGUUCUUUGCCCAAGAUCCUCUAUUAAAAAAAAAAAAAAAAAAAGAGGCUCUGUUCCCAAAUAAAGUGUCUCUAUGCCGCUAAUUUGUAAGCAGGCGUUCCCUGAGAAUUCAGAGAACGUUGAAGUGAAGACUAGUUGUCUGCCGUUUUACUUUUGAUGCUGUUUCUAAAACCACAUUGCCGUGUAUGUGGGGAAGAGACGCAACCUCUGAGCUCUCUAGCCUACCCCUCACCAUCUGUGACGCGUGCAGGCUGAGGGGGGCCCGCGUGUCCUUAUUCCAAGAAAGCACCCCCGGACGUCAGUGUCCUGGGCUGUGGGCAGCAGCGGUGCAGGACGCCCCCCGCCAUGAGCUACAGUCAAGCAGGCUGUCUGUGAACCCGCGCAGGACACGGGGACGGGAGCGAGAGGAGAGGGGCCCUUACCUGACAUCAGUUACCCAUUCCACACCAGUCACCUGCCCUGCUAAGUUGCCAGCCGCAGGAAUAAAGAACCGAGGGAGGAUUUUGGAAUCUUUCUGGGGGUGGCCAGAGUACUGCACCAUCAAAAAGUGAAAAAACGAAAAGGAAGAAAUUGUCCUCUGGAGAAAAAAUGAAAGCAUUGAAGACCCUGGGAAGACGAAUCUAUUCACAGAGAAGACGUUGGCAAAAGAAAAUAGACCCCUCGGAAGGAAAACGGCUUGGUUACUGUUUCAGCUAAGAAGUGAGAUGAGAUAUGAAGCGAUGUUUCAUUUCACGUUACCUGAAACGUCUCAGAUAAAGUCUUCCCUAGCCCCUGGAACUGAAUAAGGAGACACAGACAAGCCUUUAUGACUAGCAGCAGAGAAUAAGAGCUCCGUCUCACCGCAUUUCAGCGACCUUGCUGUGUGAGUUGUUUCUUCCAGUUCUUUGGAGUGAUUUAGCUGAACAGGUGCAAGUGGUCUGAAAGAUAGAGGAAGAGCAAGCCACCAGAGACAAGGCAGUGAGGACUCUGUCCACAUCAUAUUUCCGUGUUUGUUCUAUUUGUCAAAGACCACCCUCCACAGUUUAAACCAGAGACACUGAACAAGACGAAAGAAAAAGAAGAUAGGAUAAAAUAGAAAUACAGCUUAAGUAUAUCCCCAGGUACUAAACAAGAGAGUAAAUAGUUAAUAAUACUGUGUUAUAUAUUGGAUUGGCCAAAACAUUUGUUCAGUUUUUCUGUAAGAUGGCUCUCAUAUUGCCUAGUCAUCUUUAACUUCAUUCGAAACAACUUUGUUAGAUUGUUUUGUGACAGCUGUCAUAUAGGCAUGCAUUAAAAAAAAAUUCAAAAUUGGUGAAUUUUGUGUAGCCACUUCAAUUUUCAAGAUGGAAGAGUAAAAGCAACAUUUGGGGUAUAGUAUGCUCUAUUAUUUCAAGAAAAGUAAAAACGAAACUGAAACACCAAAAAAAAAAAAAAGAUUUCUCCAGUGUAUGGCGAAGGUGCUGUGACUGAUCGAACAUAUCAAAACUAGUUUGCAAAGUUUUCUGCUGGAGAUUUCUCCCUGGACCAUGCUUCCUGGUCGGGUAGACAAGUUGAAGUUGAUAGUGAUCAAAUCAAGACAGUAAUUGAGAACAAUCAACAUUACGCCACUUGGGAGAUAGCCAACAUACUCAAAAUGUCCAAAUCAAGUAUCGAGAAUCAUUUCCACCAAGUUGGUACGUUAAUCGCUUUGAUGUUCGGAUUCCACAUAAGUUAAGUGAAUAAAACCUUGAUUGUAUUUCCACAUGCAAUUCUUUACUUAAACAUGAGGGAAACCUUCCAUUUUUAAAACAAAUUGUGACGGUCGAUGAAAAAUGGAGACUGUGCAAGAAAGUGGGAUGGAAGAGAUCAUGGAGCAAAUGAAAUGAACCACCACUAACCAGAGGCCGGUCUUCAUCCAAAGAAGGUGACGUUGUGUAUAUGGUGGGAUUGGAAGGGAGUCCUCUAUUAUGAGCUCCUUCCAGAAAAACAAAUGAUUAAUUCCCAAAAAUACUGCUCCCAAUUAGACGACUGAAAGCAGCAUUCGACGAAAGCGUCCGGAAGGAGCCGACAGAAAACGCAUCACCUCCUGUCAGGACGACACAGGCUGCAGGUUUCUCUGACGACGGUGCAACUCGGCUGCGAAGCUCUGGUGCAUCCGCCUCGUUCACCAGACGCUACACCUUCAGAUGUCCUUUCCUUUCGGUCUCUACGACGUUCUCUCAAUGGAAACCGUUUCAACGCCCUGGAAGACAGUAAGAGGCACCUGGAGCAGUUCUUUGCUCAAAAACAUAAAAUGUUUUGGGAAGGCGGAAGUAUGAAGUUGCCUGAGCAAUGGCAGAAUGUCAUGGAGCCAAACAGUGAAUGCAUGGUCCAAUAAAAUUCUCAGUGGAAAUAAAAAAUGUGUCUUUUAUUUUUACUUAAAAACUUGAAGGAACUUUUUGGCCAAUCCAAUAUUUGACGCUGCUAACAGAGUAGACCUUAAAUGUUCUCACACAAAAAAGAAGUGAUAAUUACGUGAUGGGAGGCAGGUGGAAGCCUGUACUGUUUAAUAUGAUAUAAUCAUUUUGCAACAUAAGAAUGUAUCAAAUCAACACUCAGUGUACCUUAAACAUACACAGUGGUGUAUGUCAAUUAUAUCUCAGUAAAGCUAGAAAAAAUUUUAAAAAGAGAGUAACAGGAAAACAUGUAGGGUGUUACUUGAAUGUUUUUGUAAGAUAGUAGAAUGACUUCAACAGGAGCA